GGCGCAGCCUGAUGCAGCCAUGCCGCGUGUAUGAAGAAGGCCUUCGGGUUGUAAAGUACUUUCAGUCGUGAGGAAGGUUCAUGCGUUAAUAGCGUAUGGAUUUGACGUUAGCGACAGAAGAAGCACCGGCUAACUCCGUGCCAGCAGCCGCGGUAAUACGGAGGGUGCGAGCGUUAAUCGGAAUUACUGGGCGUAAAGCGCAUGCAGGUGGUUCGUUAAGUCAGAUGUGAAAGCCCGAGGCUCAACCUCGGAACUGCAUUUGAAACUGGCGGACUAGAGUACUGUAGAGGGGGGUAGAAUUUCAGGUGUAGCGGUGAAAUGCGUAGAGAUCUGAAGGAAUACCAGUGGCGAAGGCGGCCCCCUGGACAGAUACUGACACUCAGAUGCGAAAGCGUGGGGAGCAAACAGGAUUAGAUACCCUGGUAGUCCACGCCGUAAACGAUGUCUACUUGGAGGUUGUGGCCUUGAGCCGUGGCUUUCGGAGCUAACGCGUUAAGUAGACCGCCUGGGGAGUACGGUCGCAAGAUUAAAACUCAAAUGAAUUGACGGGGGCCCGCACAAGCGGUGGAGCAUGG
rnacentral:rRNA from 1 species